rnacentral:rRNA from 1 species
UACGUAGGGUGCAAGCGUUGUCCGGAAUUAUUGGGCGUAAAGAGCGUGUAGGCGGCCAAGUAGGUCCGGUGUGAAAACUCGAGGCUUAACCUCGAGAUGUCAUCGGAAACCAUUUGGCUAGAGUCCGGAAGAGGAAAGUGGAAUUCCUGGUGUAGCGGUGGAAUGCGCAGAUAUCAGGAGGAAUACCGGUGGCGAAGGCGGGUCUCUGGGCAGUAACUGACGCUGAGGAGCGAAAGCGUGGGGAGCGAACAGG